UAAUACGUAGGGGGCGAGCGUUGUCCGGAAUUAUUGGGCGUAAAGCGCGCGCAGGCGGUUUCUUAAGUCUGGUGUUUAAGUGCGGGGCUCAACCCCGUGUCGCAUUGGAAACUGGGGAACUGGAGUGCAGAAGAGGAGAGCGGAAUUCCACGUGUAGCGGUGAAAUGCGUAGAGAUGUGGAGGAACACCAGUGGCGAAGGCGGCUCUCUGGUCUGUAACUGACGCUGAGGCGCGAAAGCGUGGGGAGCAAACAGGAUUAGAUACCCUGGUAGUCCACGCCGUAAACGAUGAGUGCUAGGUGUCGGGGGGGUCCACCCCUCGGUGCCGAAGUCAACACAUUAAGCACUCCGCCUGGGGAGUACGGUCGCAAGACUGAA
rnacentral:rRNA from 1 species